rnacentral:RNase_P_RNA from 1 species
GCGGAGAGCCGGAUGGCCGCGGCGCCCCCCGGGGUGACGAGGAAAGUCCGGACUCCACAAGACAACGGUGCCGGGUAACGCCCGGCCGGGGCAACCCGAGGGAAAGCGCCACAGAAAUGAAACCGCCCCGGCCUGUCCGGGGCAAGGGUGAAACGGUGGGGCAAGAGCCCACCGCGGGACGGGCAACCGGACCGGCACGGCAAGCCCCACCGGGAGCAAUGCCAAAUAGGGACCGCGCGCGGGGGCCGGUCCCGGACCAUGGUCCGGGAUACCGCCCGCAGGCACGUCUUGGCCCGGCGGUCCGGGUUGGCAGCUAGAGAUUCGCUGGCAACAGCGCAUCGAGAGGAAUGGUCAUCCCUGCCGGUCCUUGGGCCGGCAGGACAGAAUCCGGCUUACAGGCUCUCCGCGCAU